rnacentral:rRNA from 1 species
CGCGUAGGCGGACUUUCAAGUCGGGUGUGAAAACUGGCGGCUCAACUGCCAGCCUGCACUCGAUACUGUUAGUCUUGAGUACAGGAGAGGAAAGCGGAAUUCCAGGUGUAGCGGUGAAAUGCGUAGAUAUCUGGAAGAACACCAGUAGCGAAGGCGGCUUUCUGGACUGAUACUGACGCUGAAGCGCGAAGGCUAGGGAGCAAACA